rnacentral:snoRNA from 1 species
AUGAAGUUAAAAAUAAUUAAAAGUUAUCUCUGUUCCCCCUGCUUAAAGCAACUGAUGCAUAACUAUCUCUGUCUAGCACAAUUCCAUAGCUAGGCAGAGACGCUUGGCCUCAAACAU